UACGUAGGGAGCAAGCGUUGUUCGGAAUUACUGGGCGUAAAGCGUGCGCAGGCGGUUUUGUAAGACUGACGUGAAAUCCCCGGGCUUAACCUGGGAAUGGCAUUUGGGACUGCAAGGCUUGAGUGCGGCAGAGGAGACUGGAAUUCCUGGUGUAGCAGUGAAAUGCGUAGAUAUCAGGAGGAACACCGAUGGCGAAGGCAGGUCUCUGGGCUGACACUGACGCUCAUGCACGAAAGCGUGGGGAGCAAACAGG
rnacentral:rRNA from 1 species